rnacentral:rRNA from 1 species
CGGGUGAGUAACACGUGAGAAACCUGCCCCAAAGUUUGGAAUAACCCGAAGAAAUUCGAGCUAAUACCAAAUGCCCUCUUCGGAUCGAAUGGUCUGAUGAGGAAAGAUUUAUCGCUUUGGGAGGGUCUCGCGGCCUAUCAGCUAGUUGGUGAGGUAAUGGCUCACCAAGGCAUCGACGGGUAGCUGGUCUGAGAGGACGAUCAGCCACACUGGAACUGAGACACGGUCCAG